ensembl:lncRNA
AACCUGGUCAGAUCAGUCCAUGGGGAGAGAACCUGGUCAGAUCAGUCCAUGGGGAGAGAACCUGGUCAGAUCAGUCCAUCGGGAGAGAACCUGGUCAGAUCAGUCCAUCGGGAGAGAACCUGGUCAGAUCAGUCCAUGGGGAGAGUCACUAUAACUAACAUGAGGUGAACCAAAACAUGCAGUUUUACAGAAACUCUGUUCAUCAACUAGUCAAAUGUUGCUAACCUGGUUCCAUCAAGGUGUACUGAUGAGGGGUCAAACGUUACAGACCAUGCUGACUUCCUGGUUCCAUCAAGGUGUACUGAUGAGGGGUCAAACGUUACAGACCAUGCUGACUUCCUGGUUCCAUCAAGGUGUACUGAUGAGGGGUCAAACGUUACAGACCAUGCUGACUUCCUGGUUCCAUCAAGGUGUACUGAUGAGGGGUCAAACGUUACAGACCAUGCUGACUUCCUGGUUCCAUCAAGGUGUACUGAUGAGGGGUCAAACGUUACAGACCAUGCUGACUUCCUGGUUCCAUCAAGGUGUACCGAUAGGAGGGGUCAAACGUUACGGAACCAGGAAGUCAGCAUGGUCUAUCAAGGUGUACUGAUGAGGGGUCAAUCGUUGCUAACCUGGUUCCAUCAAGGUGUACUGAUGAGGGGUCAAACGUUACAGACCAUGCUGACUUCCUGGUUCCAUCAAGGUGUUCUGCUAUGAGGAGUCAAACAGAACAUCUCUCCUACUGUACAGUAGGUAACAGAACAUCUCUGCUACUGUAGUCUAGUGUCUGUGAGCUGCAGGUAACAGAACAUCUCUGCUACUGUAGCCUAGUGGCUGUACAGUAGGUAACAUCUCUGCUACUGUAGCCUAGUGGCUGUACAGUAGGUAACAUCUCUGCUACUGUAGCCUAGUGGCUGUACAGUAGGUAACAGAACAUCUCUGCUACUGUAGCCUAGUGUCUGUACAGUAGGAAACAAAGCAUCUCUGCUACUGUAGCCAAGUGUCAACAGUAGGAAACAAAGCAUCUCUGCUACUGUAGCCUAGUGUCUGUCCAGUAGGAAACAGAACAUCUCUGCUACUGUAGUCUAGUGUCUGUCCAGUAGGAAACAGAACAUCUCUGCUACUGUAGUCUAGUGUCUGUACAGUAGGUAACAGAACAUCUCUGCUACUGUGGCCUAGUGUCUGUACAGUAGGUAACAGAACAUCUCUGCUACUGUGGCCUAGUGUCUGAGCUGUAGGUAAGAAUGUUGAGGAGGAGGAGUGGUCCUAAUGAAACUAGAUGACAUCAUCAAUCAUCUGAAAGUCAAACCAGCCAGCACAUUCAACGUAGUGAUUAUAGUGGGGGCUGAAAUUAUAUUCAACAUAGUGAUUAUUCUGGAUAGUGGGGGCUGAAAUGAUUGACACCCUUGAUAAAGAUGAGCAAAAACAAUUCAUAUUCUGAGUUAUAUUUUAUGCUUAAACAUUUCCCAAAUUGUAUACUUAUACAAUUGUUCAAAGAGAUUGUUAAACAAAAUGUUCUCCUCAAAUGUUAGUAAAAAUUGACACCAGUUUUCAAUACCUCACCUUGCGAGGAUAACGGCGUGGCCUUUUUCUAAAAUGUUUUCUGAGAAGGUAAUAAACAUAGGAAGGGAUCUUAAACUAUCCCUCCAUACAGAAUCCUUUCAGAUCAUAGAUAUCCUGCUUCCUCUGGGGUUAUGGUCUGCCCUCUUCCAUUCAAAACACAGCUUUUCAAUGGGGUUCAAGUGCCUGGCCAAAGAGCUCUCAUGUUAUCCAACUGGUCUGACUGGCCAAAGAGCUCUAUUCUCAUGUUAUCUGACUGGCCAAAGAGCUCUAUUACCAUGUUAUCUGACUGGCCAAAGAGCUCUAUCAUGUUAUCCAACUUGUCUGGCUGGCCAAAGAGCUCUAUCAUCAUGUUAUCUGACUGGCCAAAGAGCUCUAUUAUCAUGUUAUCUGACUGGCCAAAGAGCUCUAUUCUCAUGUUAUAUCCAACUGGUCUGACUGGCCAAAGAGCUCUUAUCAUGUUAUAUCCAACUGGUCUGACUGGCCAAAGAGCUCUAUCAUGUUAUAUCUGACUGGCCAAAGAGCUCUAUUACCAUGUUAUCCAACUGGUCUGACUGGCCAAAGAGCUCUUAUCAUGUUAUCCAACUGGCCAAAGAGCUCUAUUAUCAUGUUAUCUGACUGGACAAAGAGCUCUAUUAUCAUGUUAUCCAACUGGUCUGACUGGUCAAAGAGCUCUAUCAUGUUAUCCAACUGGUCUGGCUGGCCAAAGAGCUCUAUUAUCAUGUUAUCUGACUGGCCAAAGAGCUCUAUUACCAUGUUGUCUGACUGGCCAAAGAGCUCUAUCAUGUUAUCUGACUGGCCAAAGAGCUCUAUUACCAUGUUAUCUGACUGGUCAAAGAGCUCUAUUCUCAUGUUAUAUCCAACUGGUCUGGCUGGCCAUAGCUCUAUUAUCAUGUUAUCUGACUGGCCAAAGAGCUCUAUCAUGUUAUCCAACUGGUCUGGCUGGCCAAAGAGCUCUAUUAUCAUGUUAUCCAACUGGUCUGACUGGCCAUAGAGCUCUAUCAUGUUAUCCAACUGGUCUGGCUGGCUGUUAAGGGAAUUUUUAUCAAUGAUGACUAAUUAUGUAUACAUUUCAAUCAGGACUGACUAAUCAGAAUACUAGUAUGUUACUGUAUAUGUACUAAUCUGAAUACUAUUAUGUUAUUGUAUAAAUCAAAUAAAAUGUUAUUUGUCACACACACAUGGUUAGCAGAUGUUAAUGCGAGUGUAGAGAAAUGCUUGUGCUUCUAGUUCCGACAAUGCAGUAAUAACCAACAAG